AGUGAACGCUGGCGGUAGGCCUAACACAUGCAAGUCGAACGGCAGCACAGUAAGAGCUUGCUCUUACGGGUGGCGAGUGGCGGACGGGUGCGGAAUACAUCGGAAUCUACUUUUUCGUGGGGGAUAACGUAGGGAAACUUACGCUAAUACCGCAUACGACCUACGGGUGAAAGCAGGGGAUCUUCGGACCUUGCGCGAUUGAAUGAGCCGAUGUCGGAUUAGCUAGUUGGCGGGGUAAAGGCCCACCAAGGCGACGAUCCGUAGCUGGUCUGAGAGGAUGAUCAGCAACACUGGAACUGAGACACGGUCCAGCCUCCUACGGGAGGCAGCAGUGGGGAAUAUUGGACAAUGGGCGCAAGCCUGAUCCAGCCAUACCGCGUGGGUGAAGAAGGCCGUCGGGUUGUAAAGCCCUUUUGUUGGGAAAGAAAAGCAGCAGGUUAAUACCCCGCUGUUCUGACGGUACCCAAAGAAUAAGCACCGGCUAACUUCGUG
rnacentral:rRNA from 1 species